rnacentral:rRNA from 1 species
UACGGAGGGAGCUAGCGUUAUUCGGAAUUACUGGGCGUAAAGCGUGCGCAGGCGGUUAUAUAAGACAGUUGUGAAAUCCCCGGGCUCAACCUGGGAACUGCAUCUGUGACUGUAUAGCUAGAGUACGGUAGAGGGGGAUGGAAUUCCGCGUGUAGCAGUGAAAUGCGUAGAUAUGCGGAGGAACACCGAUGGCGAAGGCAAUCCCCUGGACCUGUACUGACGCUCAUGCACGAAAGCGUGGGGAGCAAACAGG